CGAAGACAAAGAAACAAUUUUUCUAACGGCCAUUUGUUUUUGCACUUUUCAGGACAGAAAAUGAAAUGUGGAUAAAAAUGAAACUUCCAAUGACCGCAAACCUGAAAAAUAAUGCUCUCUUGAAGAGUAAAUCUACCCUAGAAGCUGAAAUGUUGCAUUUAAAAACAGUUAUGAAAUCCAAGCCGUUGGGUCCUAAAUUGCUCCAACACUGGCUGAUCCUUUGGACCCCGGGGAAGACGAUGCAACAUUCGAGGCAGCGGUGACCUUGCCGGAAGUGAGAAUGGCCUGCAAAGUGAAAUCCGGUCCUUGUUAAGUGGAUAUGCAAAGUGAAGUCAGUUCAGCGACAAUUGCUCAGAAUUGACGACAAAUUCUUAAAAGUUUGAUUGGGAAAGUGAUACAGAAAUGUACAAAAUUGACAAAAAAAUGUCAUCGAAACUUUUCGGGUACAGGAUAAUCAGGCAACGUCAUGACAGCUAGACACUGGUGCCAAAACCUUCGAGCUCGUCAGGAGAUCCAAAAGAAGCGGAACU